rnacentral:rRNA from 1 species
CUACGGGACGCAGCAGUGAGGAAUAUUGCACAAUGGGGGGAACCCUGAUGCAGCAACGCCGCGUGGAGGAUGACGCAUUUCGGUGUGUAAACUCCUUUUAUAUGUCAAGAAAAUGACGGUAGCAUAUGAAUAAGCACCGGCUAACUCCGUGCCAGCAGCCGCGGUAAUGACGGAGGGUGGCAAGCGUUACUCGGAGUCACUGGGCGUAAAGGACGCGUAGGCGGGUUGGAAAGUCAGGUGUGAAAUCCUACAGCUUAACUGUAGAACUGCACUUGAAACUUCUAAUCUAGAGUAUGGGAGGGGGAGAUGGAAUUAGUGGUGGAGGGGUAAAAUCCGUAGAUAUCACUAGGAAUACCUAAAGCGAAGGCGAUCUCCUGGAACAUUACUGACGCUAAGGCGUGAAAGCGUGGGGAGCAAACAGGAUUAGAUACCCCCGUAGUC